ACUUUAACAUUUAAUAACUCUGAAUACCUGAUAGAAACAGUCCAUGACACUUGAAAAUAUCAUUUAUGGAACAGCAUACAAUUCAGUGCUCUUAGCUUGGAUAUUACCACCAUAUUUCACAAAGUCUUGCUUGGCUCGAUUUUCUCCAUGCAGUCAAUAUGGUCUUCAGUUGCUGGUAAGUGAUUUUGCAAAUUUCAUUUAUAAUCCUGGCCCUAAGAUUACCUAAGUACUGUUUCUGGCACAUUAACUUACAUAUUAUGCUCCGGUCAUGUGUACCUUCAAAGUUACUGAUAUAACUGACUGCCACAGGGGAUAGUGUCAAUACCUCUGUCUCCACUGGAGUGAUGGCCACCCACACUGGGGAGAACGCUGUUUUUCUAACAAACAGCAGAACUUUAAUCUUACAGGGAUGUGUGAACUAGUUUGACCUUAGUUCCAGGUGUGCCUCAAAAAAAAAUCUCAUUCUUCAUCCUCGUAGCGGGUACUUUAGGUGGCACUGAGGCUGGUGGGGAGAGCACUGGGCUUGGAAUCACACCUGGGUGACAUCCUGCUCUGGUCUUCACUAGCUGUGUGACUUGGCAAAGCCACUUGACAUCUCUGAGCCCCCGAGAUCCUGGCAGACGGGGAGACCAAUGCCCCCUUCACCAGGCUGUGGUGAGAGGACAUGACACUGCUGCCCUGGCACAGAGGUAGGAGCUGAGUAACCCUGCUGAGAGGAUGAAUGCAGGUAACGUGGAGUGAGAACGUUUCACCUGCAGCAGCUGAGGGCAGCGCUUGCCUGUGCCCAUGGGGAGAAUGGCAUGAAAGAUUCACUUGUUGCAUUUUCGCAGGUUUACGUUUGCAAAGCAGGGCAUUCUUCUCCACAUGUUUGAGAGUCAACAUUACCCCAAAACCCAUCGUGGGGAAAUUCUGCAUUCUUUUCCAUCCCCUCCCCUCCAACUAUUCUCGAGGCAAUGUCACACAAAACGAAACGUGCCGUCUGCCAACCAGCAGAGGCGAAGCAGCCGAUACUUUGGACCAGUUUAGCAGCCCUAUUCUACCUUCAGCCUCCCACACCCUGGUCUUCCCCGACACCAGAAUUGUGGUGCAUGGCGGAGGGGGUGGGUGCUGGGCAAGGGUGCAGCCCCUCAUGUUGUUUUAAGCCAGAGGGGAAAAUGUACUGGGAAGAGGCCACGGAAAAAAAGCCUGGUGAGCUCACACCUAGGGACACAGCUGGGGAAAUAAAUUAACUACUUCUGUUGCAUGUCUACCCACAGAACAGGCCUGGGUCUAAAUCUCCUCUCCCUCCAGCAGCUCCGAAGCGGCCCCGAGCUCCCUGAGAGCCAUUUCCACUGACAGGCUCCUCUCCAGGUUCUCCAGCUCCCGGCGCACCUCCUCGAUGAAGCCGCCGUCUUCAUACUCAUCAGGGACGUCUCUGGGCACCAGGUUUGCUCCGUCCUCAUCGCGGCCCCCGACGAAGGUGGGCUUGCACACAUACACCAGGCUGUGGCUGUGGAGGGAGGGACGGGGGCGAGGCCCAGGCCCCCAAACUGAGGCCCUGCCCUCUGCACAAGCCCAGCUCACCUUCACGGCACCUCCUCUAACAUCCUGCCUUAAAGCAGAUGCUGAGGGAGGGUCACCUUUGGAGAAUGUGCUCCAAGGUGAGCUCCCCCACGUCGAGCCACAGGUCUGUCCUCCUGUCACGGACCCUCUCUGGCAGCCCUGAGGACUUGGCGGUCUGAGAGUUUACAGCCCCCUGCCCACCUGGGCCCCCAGGCAGCAGCAGCCCCUGCUGCACCUAUGGGGAGCCCUGGGCCUUGUGGGCCAGGGCCAGGGUUCUGUCUGUUUCCCCAGCCACCCUGGAUCCUGCUGGGAGAGAAGGCAGAGCAGCGGCUGCUGAGUGAGAUGCGCACGGAGAACUUAGCCUCUGAGCAGGCCUGGUGCUUCACGUCUCUCCACGGCCUCUACUCUGCUGGCCAUUCUCCCGGCUGCCCUCCUACCUCUCUGACUGCACCUUCUCAGUCUCCUCUGCUCUUUCAUUGUGAUGCGCCUGGGCUCCCUCCACACCCAGUCUUUUUUAACGUCAUCUACUGAGGAGGCUUCAACCCUCACACAGAUGAACCCAAGUCUGUACCCCUGGCCACACCUCCUGAGCCCUAGUCCUAUAGAUCCGCUAUUGGACCCUCCAUCUGGAAGACCCAAGGACACCUCCAACUAAACCUACCUUAAAUUAAAUCCACAUCUUCCCCCCACCCUGCUCCUGCUCCUGGGUCCCCACUGGGUGGCACCUCAUUUGCUCUCAGCCCCCGACAGAAAGGGCAAGUGAGACCUCACCUAUGAGGCUGGCAGAGGAGGCCACUGGCACACGGGCAUCGGUCCAAAGCUCCAUCAGGCUCCAGCUCCCAGGCAUCACAGGAGGAAAAGAAAAAGAGUGAGACAGAGAGCUGGUCUUCAGCCCCGGGAAGAAGUUGCGGUGCUGGGACACAUACCAAUGAGCAUCGGGGACCCUGCCUAGGAGGAGGUCCCUGAAAAGGUGUGGUUGGCAUGGACGGGGCCCCAGGAGCCCCAGUGUGCUAGAGCUUGGGACAGGGCUUGUCCUGCCCCCAGAGGGGAGCCCACCCACCUCUCUGGAAGGCACAGCACAGCCCCGGCUGGCAGUCCCUCUGGUUGUCACAGAUGGUCCCGUUGCCGCCUUUGGUGGCCGUUCUGGUGCAGUGACCCCAGACGCACAGCUGGUCUCCACAACACUCGCUGUCCCGGGUGCAGAGCUGCAGCAGGGAGGGAAAACACAGGCGGCUCACGGACCUGAGGGAGCCCAGCCUGUCCCUGCCCCCAAUCCAGAAGCCUGGAGACAGUGCAGGUCCCUAAUUAACGGUCAGGAAGGAAGAUGGCUUAUGGCCCACAGAUGCAGGCAGCGGCGUGAAUCUGAUCAGCUGAUUAAAUUAAGGCCCAAGCCUGGACAGCCACAGGGACAGGAGGGCACUGGGUGCCUUGGACCUGGGGUCGCACGUGUGGGGUGGUGGCACCGAGCAGGCCAGGAGAUGCCUAACCACAGGUGGAAGAAGUUAACUGUAUGCUGAUCACAAGCCCGCGGACCCCAGGCAACUGGAACCAGAAGACUGAUGAUGUUGACUCCCAGUUACCUUCCCACCCAUCAGAAGCAUGUCCGCAAGCUCAUCACGCACAUGUGCAACUCUCUCCCUCAACCUGUCUUUAAAAACCCUUCCCUGAAAGCCAUCGGGGAGUGGGGAUCUUCUGAGCUUUACUCCUUGCUUGGCCUUGCAACAAACGCUGCACUUUCCUCACCACAACCCAGCAUCAGAAGAUCGGCUUUACUAUGUGCAGGCAAGUGGACCCAAGUUUGAUUCAGUAACAAAAGGGGAGCACACUGCCCACCACCCUGCAAGAUGACCUAAAAUUGCUCUUCUCUGUGUCUCCCCAGCGUCCCACGCAUCUCGGCCCACAAGCCCCCUCCCACGGCUCUGCCCGAAGUUUCCAUCACCACAGCAGUGCAGCAGCUCAGCAAGUAGGGUCUGCCCUCCCAAAAGGAAUCGAUCUUGUCCCUGUUCCCAACCCAGCAACUCUAAAAGGUCGGCUGUUUUUACUGGUGAGAAAACUGAGUCUCAGAGGGGCGGAAGGGCCGCCCAAAUCAGGGGUGAGCUGGGGGCAGGGCACUCAGUCUGUGUGACCCCAGAGUCCAUAAUAGCCUGAGAAGCCGACAGGUUUAUAAGUAAAGCACUCAGCCACCACGCCUUCCUCAACACAGACUCAACUCAGCCAGUUAAGCCAGAAGCGUCCUGACAUUUCUUCCAAAACAGAAUAGCAAGAGCAUGGGGUGGUGGGGUCAGGAGGGAGGGAGGAGUAGAGGGCCCACAGGUAUCAAGGCCCUUCUCUGAACCCGGCCACAUUUUGAAGCAUUGGGAUGCAAAUGUGAAUAGGAGAAGGCCUUUGCCCUCAAAGAAUUUAUCAUUCAAUUAAAAAAAAAAAUGCAACCCAGCAGAAAAGAGAGAAGGGUAUGAACAGACAACUUACAGCCAGUGAAACUGCUUUGUCUCUUCACGCAGAAAAGAUAUUUGAGGGGCUUCCCUGGUGGCACAGUGGUUGAGAGUCUGCCUGCCAAUGCAUGGGACACGGGUUCGAGCCCUGGUCUGGGAGGAUCCCACAGGCCGCAGAGCAACUGGGCCCGUAAGCCACAACUACUGAGCCUGCGCGUCUGGAGCUUGUGCUCCGCAACGAGAGAGGCCGCGACGGUGAGAGGCCCCCGCUCGCCGCAACUAGAGAAAGCCCUCGCACAGAAACGAAGACCCAAC